rnacentral:rRNA from 1 species
GACGAACGCUGGCGGCGUGCUUAACACAUGCAAGUCGAACGGUAAGGCCCUUCGGGGUACACGAGUGGCGAACGGGUGAGUAACACGUGGGUGAUCUGCCCUGCACUUCGGGAUAAGCCUGGGAAACUGGGUCUAAUACCGGAUAGGACUCCUGGCUUCAUGGUUGGGGGUGGAAAGCUUUUGCGGUGUGGGAUGGGCCCGCGGCCUAUCAGCUUGUUGGUGGGGUAAUGGCCUACCAAGGCGACGACGGGUAGCCGGCCUGAGAGGGUGACCGGUCACACUGGGACUGAGAUACGGCCCAGACUCCUACGGGAGGCAGCAGUGGGGAAUAUUGUACAAUGGGCGCAAGCCUGAUGCAGCGACGCCGCGUGAGGGAUGACGGCCUUCGGGUUGUAAACCUCUUUCAGUAGGGACGAAGCGCAAGUGACGGUACCUACAGAAGAAGGACCGGCCAACUACGUGCCAGCCGCCGCAGUAA